rnacentral:rRNA from 1 species
CUACGAGCUGCACCAGUGAGGAAUAUUGCACAAUGGGGGGAACCCUGAUGCAGCAACGCCGCGUGGAGGAUGACGCAUUUCGGUGUGUAAACUCCUUUUAUAUGUCAAGAAAAUGACGGUAGCAUAUGAAUAAGCACCGGCUAACUCCGUGCCAGCAGCCGCGGUAAUACGGAGGGUGCAAGCGUUACUCGGAAUCACUGGGCGUAAAGGACGCGUAGGCGGGUUGGAAAGUCAGGUGUGAAAUCCUACAGCUUAACGGUAGAACUGCACUUGAAACUUCUAAUCUAGAGUAUGGGAGGGGGAGAUGGAAUUAGUGGUGUAGGGGUAAAAUCCGUAGAUAUCACUAGGAAUACCUAAAGCGAAGGCGAUCUCCUGGAACAUUACUGACGCUAAGGCGUGAAAGCGUGGGGAGCAAACAGGAUUAGAUACCCCCGUAGUC